UACAGAGGGGGCAAGCGUUGUUCGGAAUUACUGGGCGUAAAGGGCGCGUAGGCGGCCUUCUAAGUCGAACGUGAAAUCCCCGGGCUCAACCCGGGAACUGCGUCCGAUACUGGAAGGCUUGAAUCCGGGAGAGGGAUGCGGAAUUCCAGGUGUAGCGGUGAAAUGCGUAGAUAUCUGGAGGAACACCGGUGGCGAAGGCGGCAUCCUGGACCGGUAUUGACGCUGAGGAGCGAAAGCUAGGGGAGCAAACGGG
rnacentral:rRNA from 1 species